GAUGAACGCUGGCGGCGUGCUUAACACAUGCAAGUCGAACGAAGCAUUUGCGACAGAUUUUUUCGGAAUGAAGUUGCUUAUGACUGAGUGGCGGACGGGUGGGUAACGCGUGGGUAACCUGCCUUGUACUGGGGGAUAGCAGCUGGAAACGGCUGGUAAUACCGCAUAAGCGCACAAUGUUGCAUGACAUGGUGUGAAAAACUCCGGUGGUAUAAGAUGGACCCGCGUCUGAUUAGCUAGUUGGUGAGAUAACAGCCCACCAAGGCGACGAUCAGUAGCCGACCUGAGAGGGUGACCGGCCACAUUGGGACUGAGACACGGCCCAGACUCCUACGGGAGGCAGCAGUGGGGAAUAUUGCACAAUGGAGGAAACUCUGAUGCAGCGACGCCGCGUGAGUGAAGAAGUAAUUCGUUAUGUAAAGCUCUAUCAGCAGGGAAGAUAGUGACGGUACCUGACUAAGAAGCUCCGGCUAAAUACGUG
rnacentral:rRNA from 1 species